rnacentral:rRNA from 1 species
GUCCUUUUGGAUUUUUAUAUAAGGUCUAGCCUGCCCACUGAAUUUAUAUUUUAAAUGGCCGCAGUAUUUUGACUGUGCAAAGGUAGCAUAAUCAUUAGUUUUUUAAUUAAAAGCUUGUAUGAAAGGCUGGACGAGGUAAAAUCUGUCUCUAUUUAAAUUAUAAUAGAAUUUAACUUUUAAGUUAAAAGGCUUAAAUAUUAUUAAAAGACGAGAAGACCCUAUAGAUCUUUAUAAUUUAUUAAAUGAAGUUAAUUUAGAAUUAUUUAUGUUUCAUUUAAUAAGAUUAUUUUAUUGGGGUAAUAGAAAGAUUAAAUUAAUUCUUUUUUAUAGUAAACAUUUAUUUAUGAGUAUUAAUGAUCCAAUAUUAUUGAUUAUAAGAUUAAGUUACCUUAGGGAUAACAGCGUAAUUUUUUUAGAGAGUUCAUAUCGAUAAGAAAGUUUGCGACCUCGAUGUUGGAUUAAAGAUUAUUUUAGGUGUAGAAGCUUAAUAAUUUUGGUCUGUUCGACCAUUAAAUCUUUAC